AAUGACGAAUACCCAGCAUUUGCUUCAACUUGGAUAGAACUGGAGUGUAUUAUGCUGAGUGUCAUACUGAUUUUUAAAUGUAAAACCAAUUCAAUGCCCAUGAUCGAUACUAUUGAAACUUAACUUGGGAGGUCUUCAUAGCUCCGUAGCCCCAAGGCCAUAAAUCGGCUACAAAGGUUCAGUUUCACCACAGAGCUUGCUGAUUAUGAAUUAAAAUAUCAGAGACAACAGAUAGAAAAGGUGAUAAAUGCAGCCCAUAUGGUGCUGUAAGAGAUAUUAGGAAAACCAAGAGAAAAUACAAAGAACCAUGAAGUAAAACUUCACACCAUUACUAUAUACUGGAAACUGAUGUCUUGUUAAAGCUCCAGUGUGUUUUAUUUUCACAGGGCAUAGUAAAAAUAGAAAAAUCAUAAGACCAGAACAAGAAAAAUAAAUGGAGGCUACUCUUGGGAUUGGAGACUGGGGAUUACCAAAUGUUAACAACCUAGGUUUUAUUUUUUAUUUGUUUCGUUUUGUUUUAAAAUCAGUUAACAACCUUUAAUAAAAGGGGCUGCCAAACUAUCUCUGGAGAAAUCCCUAGGUCAGUAGAGGAGAACUCUCCUCCUCUUCAGCUUCUUGACAAACAGAAAAGAAAAGCAAAUAUGAUAGCAUUGCUAAGCAAAUCUACUGACAUUGGAAUCAUGCUGCAACAAUCAUAUCCCAAAUAUCUGAAAGACUAUUUUCAUUGCAAAGGACCCUGAAAGUUGCUUACAAUAUAGGCAUAAGUAGGUUUUUCCACAGCACAAGCUUCCCCCUCCUUUUGGCCUUAAAAGAGUUUUGGAGGCUGCCAUCGUUCAUCUGGACCAUGCAACACGUGGGCAUUACAACUCACUAAUUUAUCCCAAGGACUUGAAAAUGGGAAGCCAUGAGUCUUGUGGCCCUCUCUCUGGUGAAAAUGAUGCCCAUUUCUGAUUCUUUAGCUAAAUACCAACAGAUAAUGCCUGAAGGAUCCAAGAAAACACAGAAGCCCAGCAAAGGACCCUCUGUACUUUGUAUAUACCACGAUGGAAACUUUAUUUUUAGCAGUUUCUGGUUUAAGCCUGGGGGCAGAGGUGCAGGGGCAAGUCAUUUAACUGAACUUAUGCAAACUCUCCUUGGCUGCAAAUGAGGAUAACCCUGCCCUGACUGCCUUGGAGCAUUAGUAAGCAUAAUGCAGACAAGAUGUUCUUUGUACUUGCUCAGGAGUAUGGACCACUCUCUACAUCCUUCCUUCCUGCUAGACACACAUGGCCCUGGGGGAGGAACUAGUAUCCCAGAAAAAUUGUGUAUUUGUGAAAAUUUUCUUACGUCAUGAAGCUUCUAAAAUAUGAAUUUCCAUAGUAGAAAAAUAAUCAUGGAGUUAACCUGAAUCAAAGACCUAAUACAGGACAGCCUGGGUGGCUCAGUGGUUUAGAGCUGCCUUCAGCCCAGGGCAUGAUCCUGGAGACCCGGGAUGGAGGCCCAUGUCGGGCUCCC